UUAAAUUGACCAAGUUGCCCUCGUAUAUGUCCGAUAAUAUGGUUCGGAUGUCUCUACCAAGUUACCGAUAAUAACUUGACUAUGAAGGUGAAUGCAGUCAUG
rfam:Psychrobacillus sp. FJAT-21963 super5, whole genome shotgun sequence.